GACAAUUAACAAUAAUCUCGCCAUUAAAAUGCACCAAUUAAUUAUUAUCAAAGCGCGCGAAAAAAGCAAAAUUGCCCAAGAAAUAAUAACGACUCGUUGAACAUGAAUGGUUUUUGAAAAAGCAGGUGCGUUUUGUGAUAUCACAAGUUGCGUAAUUCCAGCAUCAUAUCGAAAGCAAAAGUGGUCAGUGUCAGUGGGUUAGUGGGACACAAUUGGUGGGGUUGUUGGGUGAAUCUAGACGUACCAAAUCAGUUGCGAAUUAUGGAAACUUGUUCUGCCGCUCCCUGUUAUAAAGCGUUCUAUCUUAAGAUUGGUUUUAAUGGCAUUUGCAUAAUUUACGCGAGCUGGAAACUAGGCUCCAAACAAUUUAAUGCAAACAUUGACGCCCAAAAUUAUUAUUAAUUAAAAAGAGCUUACAGAUAGGGAAAACAAUCAUUGGCUGAUAAAAUCUGCAGUGUGCAAUUAGCUUAUCUUAUCUCGCCGAAUCUAGGCCUUUCAAGCGAAUACAAAUUGUAUGAAAAUGACAGCGUUUACUGCAAAUUAUAACCAGCUCCGAAUUUUUCAAUCAAUCGAUCUGUUCGCUAUUUUUGUUGGGAAAUGUACAACAAAUUAAAUUAAUACCAAACUGGAGAAAAAACCCAAGUCAAAUACCACAAAAGUUUAUUAUAAAAAAAAGUUUUACUUUCCUAUUUUCUGUUAAGUUGUUUGUUUUUUUAAUCAUGUAAUUUUAAUAUUUUAAAAAAUAAACAAAUGCUUCGAAA